UACGUAGGGUGCGAGCGUUAAUCGGAAUUACUGGGCGUAAAGCGUGCGCAGGCGGUUUUGUAAGCCAGAUGUGAAAGCCCCGGGCUUAACCUGGGAAUGGCAUUUGGGACUGCAAGGCUGGAGUGUGGCAGAGGAGACUGGAAUUCCCGGUGUAGCAGUGAAAUGCGUAGAUAUCGGGAGGAAUACCGAUGGCGAAGGCAGGUCUCUGGGCUGACACUGACGCUCAUGCACGAAAGCGUGGGGAGCAAACAGG
rnacentral:rRNA from 1 species